rnacentral:tRNA from 1 species
AAUGGUAUAGCUCAGUGGCACAAGUGCCUGCUUGGCAAGCACAAGGUCCUGAGUUCGAUUCUUGAUACUAUUA